UGCCUAUCAAAAUUGUUUUGGGAAUAUGACUGUUUUGAACAAAGUGUUUGAAUGAUUUUAUGAAAUUUUUCAUGAAAAUGAAUGCCUUGGGAACAAGCUUUUGAGAAAAGGUUUAUGUUAUGAAAUGUGGUUAUUAUGGAUUUCUAUGUGGCUGCAUUAUGUUGAUAUACAUAUAUGCUUGAAUAUAAUGUUGUGUAAUUAUGUUGACUCGGCUAUGUGCGAGUAGGGAGUGUGCAUAAGCCGAGGAUGACCCGGUUAUGUGCGAGUAGGGAGUGCGCAUAAUCCGGUGAUGACCCAGCCAUGUGCGAGUAGGGAGUGCGCAUGAGCUGGUGAUGAUGAUGAUGAGCUGGUGAUGAUGAUGAUGGGUUGGUGAGAUGAUGAUGAUGGGUAUAUACGUAUAUAUAUAUAUAUAUACAUAUGUAAAUGUGUGUGAUAUAGCAAAUUGAUGGACAAUGAUUUAUGGUUGUAAUGUACGUAAAAUUUGACACAUUAUACUUUGAGAAUUUUCAUGAAUGUUAGGUUGAUUUUAUUAGUUUAGCAGGAUGGCUUUUGUUGAGUGAGGAAAAAUGUUUCUCUUGUUGCUUUGUUUUCACUGCAUCGAAAUUCAUGCUCGCUGUAGCGAAAAACUCUGGGGUUUGGAGGGGUUUUAAAUAGGAAUGAACUAAAUUGCAUUGUUUGAAACAAGUGCAUCAUGAUUUUAAAUUUUUCCUAAUUGUUGCUUGUUCCCUUCCUUGUUCACUCACUGGGUUUAUACUCACCAUUUUCAAAUUCAUGUUUUCAGAUCACGAGGUAGCCGAUAAUUAGGACGAGGUGUCCUUGUAGAUCUGUGUACAUCUUCUGGUAGGUGUCUCGGCAUUCGGUAGCUGUAUAUCCAUCCGAGUCACUCCGCUGGAGGUCGAGUAUUAUUUUGUUAUGUAUAGAUGAACUUAAAUGUAAAUUUUAAAAGAGUAAUGCCAGUACGAGUUGGCAAUGUAUAUCACUAUUUUGACUCAAAGUCAUGAAAUA
rnacentral:lncRNA from 1 species